CAGCUUAGGGCUCGGGUGGGAUUGAGAGGAUGGGGGGACAAUUAAGGGAAAGCCCUGCAGGCCAGCCCUGAACUCUUCCCUCCUUGCUCACGGCCCUCAGCCCAUGUCCAGUGCCAGCCCUCUCAGAAGCCGUCUGUUCCUCUUGCCCCAGGAAGCUAAAAUUCUUCAGAAGAUGCAGCUGUUCCCGGUGGCAGCAAGGAAAUAUAAUUUUCAGUGUGAGGAAAAUGUUGAGGUCUGGUUUCACUCGCGGGAGUGGCUCAGUGAGAACGAGAGCUACAACCUGUCCUGCCUUCUGGAGCCCCGAGCCCAGUGGGACAGCAGCACUCUCAGGCACAGGAAGACUUUGUCCUAAGUCUCAGGAACCCCUGAAGGCCCGCGCCAUCAGGCCCAGACAGGCUCGGCACUCAGUGAAGUCUGAGCUGCGAGCUCCCGACAGAGCUGGCUGUCAUGUCCAGCUCCACUCUGACCAGCCUGGGAUCAGGGUGGGGCCUCCCACCACUGUUCCUCAAGCCCCAUUGUCACCAAUUUGAUUUGCCUUUCCAAUGCCUUUUUCUUUUUUACAUAUCUUAUUUACUCUGUGCUUCUUUUGUUUCUCAGCAUUUUUAUUCAAAUUAAUAUAGAUAAAUUAUACAUUGUAUUUUCCUCUUUUUGUGAUUUUUUUCACUUUAGGCCACAUAGUCUAUAGGUCACUAUAGGUCAAUGGAGAUCAUUGCUUAUGAAUGUAUUUCAUUUUCUGCUAUUAAAUUUGAGUCUAUCUAUCUGUCCAUCCAUCUAUACCACAGUCAUGAAACAUCUUUACAGCUUGCAGCUAUCAUAAAACCUGCACUGAGGCCAGGUGCGUG
rnacentral:lncRNA from 1 species